GCAGCCGCGGUAAUUCCAGCUCCAAUAGCGUAUAUUAAAGUUGUUGCAGUUAAAAAGCUCGUAGUUGAAUUUCGGGGUUAGCAGGUCGGUCGUGCCAAUGGUAUGCACUGGCUCGCUGACUCCUCCUUCUUGUAGAACCGUAAUGCCAUUAAUUUGGUGUUGCGGGGAAACAGGACUGUUACUUUGAAAAAAUUAGAGUGUUUAAAGCAGGCUAGCGCCUGAAUACAUUAGCAUGGAAUAAUGAAAUAGGACGUUCGAACCUAUUUUGUUGGUUUCUAGGAUUGACGUAAUGAUUAAUAGGGAUAGUUGGG
rnacentral:rRNA from 1 species